rnacentral:rRNA from 1 species
UACGUAGGGUGCGAGCGUUAAUCGGAAUUACUGGGCGUAAAGCGUGCGCAGGCGGUUUUGUAAGCCAGAUGUGAAAUCCCCGGGCUUAACCUGGGAAUGGCAUUUGGGACUGCAAGGCUCGAGUGCGGCAGAGGAGACUGGAAUUCCUGGUGUAGCAGUGAAAUGCGUAGAUAUCAGGAGGAACACCGAUGGCGAAGGCAGGUCUCUGGGCUGACACUGACGCUCAUGCACGAAAGCGUGGGGAGCAAACAGGGA